AUAAAACAUCAAAUGGAAAUGAUACUUUUAGUUCUGAUGAAAUAAAAGCUGAUAUAAAUCAACAAUCAGAUGUGCCAAAUAUGGAAAAUACAUUAUGGGCAUCAACUAAUCCUGCUUAUGGAGUUACUGGUGAAAGGUAUAAUGCUGAUGUAUCAACUAAUCCUGCCUAUGGAGUUACUGAAAGUAAGAUAGACUAUUAUUAUCAAUCAAUACAACUAUUAAUAGAAUCUGGUGUCUCUGCUAUUCCUGCUUAUGGUUUUAAUACUGGAAGAAUAGAAAGUAAUAGUAUGUAUGGAGUUGGGUGGAGAAAUAAUUGUAAGAAUAAUAAUAUU